CGUCAUCAGACUUACUCUGCCAGUGCGGAGCGCCGCUUCCGAGACGCUCGCGCAUUGGCCGCACAUCCUCUUGAACAUUCAUCUCCAUUCCCCUUAGCCCCAGAGCACGAAGCCAUGGCUUCCAGCUUGAGCCACCUCUCUCCUCUUAGUACUGAGUGCUACAUAGAAGACAAUGAAAAUUGGUGGGGAAAGAACUCAGUCUUCAAGCAAAAGCACUAUAUCUCAUCCCCUGCACUUCCCUCAUCCACUUAGCUGCCCUUGCUCUACAUUUGACCUCAUUCUGGGGGCCUGACUGGCCAUGUCAUCCACCUGUGUGGCGAUGCUGUACUUUGCCAGUGGCCGCAGCAUCAACAGGAUGUUAUCCUGUGAGGUACUGUGAAGAGAGGAAACAAGACUUUGGGGGUUUUGCAGAGGACGGAGAGAAAGAACAAGAAGAGUCAAGGGGUAUCCUGUGAUGAGGGUCUUGGUCACAUACCAGAUGUCUAAUAAACAACUCCGAGCUUCCACAAACCUAUUCACCAGACAGUUCAAGUGGCCCAGGAUUGUGGCUGUGGCAUCAGUCGUUGCAAUUUGUGUAAGUAUAGUUCUUUCCGCCUGUCCUAUCCAUCCACAGAACCUGAACCAGUGACUUUCAUCUAGAAGGAGAAGGCUGUCCCCUAGACAAACUAAUCAGGAAAACAGAAUAAAAACACAAAUUAUCAAUAUCAGGAAUGCAAGAGGCGUCAUCAAUACAUACCUUACAGAUGUUACGAUAAUGAGAUACUAUGAACAAAUUUAAGCCAACAAAUUAUAAAUCUUUGAUGCAGUUAACAAAUUUCUUAAAAGACAAAAAACAAUUAAAAAUGACUCAAAAAGAAAUAUACUUCAUGAAUAGUCCUGUAUCUAUUGUGGGAAUUGAAUUUGUAGUUAAAAAAUCUUCCAGAGAGAAUACAUCAUUAUCAAGUAGUUUACUCUAGGUGUACAGGGCUGAUGCAACAUUCAAACAUCAACAGGGAUUUUAAGUAUAUUCCACCAUAUUAAAAACAAAUGAUUAUCUCAAUAGAUACAGAAAAAGCAUUUGAUGAAUCUCAACAUCUAUUCAUGAUUAAAAAUCUUAGCGAACUAUAAAUAAAAGGGAAUAUACUUGAGAUAUGGAGAAGGCGA